GACGAACGCUGGCGGCGCGCUUAACACAUGCAAGUCGAGCGAAGCGGCGGACGGGUGAGUAACACGUGAGUAACCCGCCUUAGACAUUGGGAUAGCCUCGGGAAACCGGGAUUAAUACCACAUGGACUAAGAUGGACUCGCGUCCCAUUAGCUGGUUGGUGAGGUAACGGCACACCAAGGCGACGAUGGGUAGCCGGCCUGAGAGGGUGAACGGACACAUUGGAACUGGGAAACUGUCCAAAAUCUACGGGAGGGAGCAGUGGUGAAUAGUGCACAAUGGAGGGAACUCUGAUGCAGCGACGCCGCGUGAACGAAGAAGGCUUUCGAGUCGUAAAGUGCUUUUAUAUGGGAAGCGGUACCAUAACAGAAAGCCCCGGCUAACUACGUGCCAGCAGCCGCGGUAAUAC
rnacentral:rRNA from 1 species